UUUCGGGGUGGAUUAGUGGCGAACGGGUGAGUAACACGUGGGCAAUCUGCCCUUCACUCUGGGACAAGCCCUGGAAACGGGGUCUAAUACCGGAUAACACUCUGUCCCGCAUGGGACGGGGUUAAAAGCUCCGGCGGUGAAGGAUGAGCCCGCGGCCUAUCAGCUUGUUGGUGGGGUAAUGGCCUACCAAGGCGACGACGGGUAGCCGGCCUGAGAGGGCGACCGGCCACACUGGGACUGAGACACGGCCCAGACUCCUACGGGAGGCAGCAGUGGGGAAUAUUGCACAAUGGGCGAAAGCCUGAUGCAGCGACGCCGCGUGAGGGAUGACGGCCUUCGGGUUGUAAACCUCUUUCAGCAGGGAAGAAGCGAAAGUGACGGUACCUGCAGAAGAAGCGCCGGCUAACUACGUGCCAGCAGCCGCGGUAAUACGUAGGGCGCAAGCGUUGUCCGGAAUUAUUGGGCGUAAAGAGCUCGUAGGCGGCUUGUCACGUCGGAUGUGAAAGCCCGGGGCUUAACCCCGGGUCUGCAUUCGAUACGGGCUAGCUAGAGUGUGGUAGGGGAGAUCGGAAUUCCUGGUGUAGCGGUGAAAUGCGCAGAUAUCAGGAGGAACACCGGUGGCGAAGGCGGAUCUCUGGGCCAUUACUGACGCUGAGGAGCGAAAGCGUGGGGAGCGAACAGGAUUAGAUACCCUGGUAGUCCACGCCGUAAACGUUGGGAACUAGGUGUUGGCGACAUUCCACGUCGUCGGUGCCGCAGCUAACGCAUUAAGUUCCCCG
rnacentral:rRNA from 1 species